rnacentral:rRNA from 1 species
AAACGACUCUCGGCAACGGAUAUCUCGGCUCUCGCAUAGAUGAAGAACGUAGCGAAAUGCGAUACUUGGUGUGAAUUGCAGAAUCCCGUGAACCAUCGAGUCUUUGAACGCAAGUUGCGCCCGAAGCCAUUAGGUUGAGGGCACGUCUGCCUGGGCGUCU